rnacentral:ncRNA from 1 species
AGAAAGGCUAUGAAGGAGAGAGUAGGCAGGGGAACCUUUCAGGGAGAAAGAGCCGUAGACUGGAAGCUCUUUUAAGGUGAAGCUGCCCAAGUUCACUCUGGAGCCGGGAGGUUGAAUCUAAGUAAUCCUCUCCGGUUUUCCCCGUUAAAGGAAGAAGAGGGUUUAUUGCGGAUAUAAACUGAAAAAGGGUGGUACCACGGGAGCGUGAGCUUUCGUCCCUGAG